rnacentral:rRNA from 1 species
AUUGAACGCUAACGGCGUGCUUAACACAUGCAAGUCGAACGGCAGCACAGUAUGUAGCAAUACAUAUGGGUGGCGAGUGGCGGACGGGUGAGUAAUACGUAGGAAUCUACCUUGUAGUGGGGGAUAACCGGGGGAAAAUCGGGCUACUACCGAAUAAUCUUUAGGAAGCAAGGAGGGCCCUUGAAUAUGCCCUUGCUAAAAGAUGAGCCUACGUCGGAUUAGCUAGUUGGUGGGGUAAAGGCCUACCAAGGCGACGAUCCGUAGCUGGUCUGAGAGGAUGAUCAGCCACACUGGGACUGAGACACGGCCCAGACUCCUACGGGAGGCAGCAGUGGGGAAUAUUGGACAAUGGGCGAAAGCCUGAUCCAGCAACGCCGUGUGUGUGAAGAAGGCCUUAGGGUUGUAAAGCACUUUCAGUGGGGAAGAAAAGUUCAAGGCUAAUACCCUUGAAUCUUGACGUUACCCACAGAAGAAGCACUGGCUAACUCUGUGCCAGCAGCCGCCGUAA